GUGGGGAAUCUUCCGCAAUGGACGAAAGUCUGACGGAGCGAUGCCGCGUGAGUGAUGAAGGCCUUCGGGUCGUAAAGCUCUGUCAUCGGGGACGAACGGCCUCAGCAGGUAAUGGCUGGGGAUUGACGGUACCCGAGAAGGAAGCCACGGCUAACUACGUGCCAGCAGCCGCGGUAAUACGUAGGUGGCAAGCGUUGUCCGGAAUUAUUGGGCGUAAAGCGCGCGCAGGUGGGAUCUUAAGUCCAUUUUGAAAGUUCGGAGCUCAACUCCGUGAUGGGAUGGAAACUGGGAUUCUUGAGUACCGGAGAGGAAAGCGGAAUUCCCCGUGUAGCGGUGAAAUGCGUAGAUAUGGGGAGGAACACCAGUGGCGAAGGCGGGUUCCUGGCCCAUGACUGACGCUGAGGUGCGAAAGCCGGGGGAGCGAACGGGAUUAGAUACCCGUGUAGUCC
rnacentral:rRNA from 1 species